AUACGGAGGGUGCAAGUGUUACUCGGAAUCACUGGGCGUAAAGCGCGCGCAGGCGGCUAUUUAAGUUGGAUGUGAAAGCCUACGGCUCAACCGUAGAACUGCAUCCAAAACUAUUUAGCUAGAGUGUGAGAGAGGAAGAUGGAAUUAGUUGUGUAGGGGUAAAAUCCGUAGAGAUAACUAGGAAUACCAAAAGCGAAGGCAAUCUUCUGGAACACUACUGACGCUGAGGCGCGAAAGCGUGGGGAGCGAACAGUAUUAGAAACCCUAGUAGUCC
rnacentral:rRNA from 1 species